rnacentral:rRNA from 1 species
UACGAAGGGUGCAAACGUUGCUCGGAAUUAUUGGGCGUAAAGCGCACGUAGGCGGCUCUAUAAGUCGGAUGUGAAAUCCCUCGGCUUAACCAAGGAAGUGCAUCCGAAACUGCAGAGCUUGAGUACUUAAGAGGAUCGCGGAAUUCCCGGUGUAGAGGUGAAAUUCGUAGAUAUCGGGAGGAACACCAGUGGCGAAGGCGGCGAUCUGGGAAGAUACUGACGCUGAGGAGCGAAAGCAUGGGGAGCGAACAGG